CGUCAACGGUGACGAAAAAGUGAGACACAGCCUUUUGGGGGGGGGUCCUUCAAGGAAAAGACCGCGGCUCCCGUAAGGGAAGUGAGCGAUGGCGGAAGGUGAUGGUCCCGCUGCCUGCCUGCCGCAGUUGAAUUUGGGGGCGGGCGAGGGGGAUUCAAAGCUUGAAUCAGCGCAAAGCAGCGCCGUCAUCGUCGUCGCUCUGUUGACCCACGAUGACGCAGCAGUCAACGAAAUGCAGGGCCCGCGGAGACUCACUUUGCCCCGCCGUUCUCCGCCACGCAAAGCUCGAAGCCUCCUCUCGACUUUCAUGCUAUGACUGGAAACUACAACAACAAUAACAACAAAAAAAACCUAUGGCCACUUUUCCUGUAGGUGAAUUUUGUGUGGGAAUAGUCGCGAGGGUUGAGAUUCACGAGAGAGACGGUGAGAGAGAGAGAGAGGGAGCCCACAAUCAUGGCCUUAGUGAUUGAACGAGGCGAGAGGAGGCGAGGCAGCAGGAUUCGAUUCCUGUCCAUCUGCUUUUGUGGGGAAUCUCGCUUCUGACAUAAAGCUUCCAAUCAGUUCGAUUGUCUUGGCUACCCCACACAAGAUUGAAAAGAGUUCCCGUAACUGCUUUUCGUUUGAUUCGAACGCGCCCAUGGAUUAUGCAAGCUCCACCACCCCCGUAACUGGAAAGCUCGCCCACAGUUGAAGCUUGAGGAGGACGAAGACUCGACCCUGGCGGACUCGUCAAUAUUUUUUUCCCCCUUUCUCCCGACGCGUGGACCUCUCCAUGUUGAAACGGAGUGAAAGCGUGAGGCAUCCAAUUCUGACAAUCACCUCAGUUGUGUUUUCGAAUGGGGAGCGCGCUGAAUGUGUACGUCAUCGCGGUCUCUGACACAACAAUGAAACUGCUGCUGCUGCUGCAGCGGCUCCCGCAUUUACUGCCUCACACCUGGAGACCGGGGGAACCUGUACCAUUGUGGGUCAACUCCCACGCACCCAGUCCGUUUUCACCCUUUGAUUUAUUCACCAAAUCCGUUUGCCAGAUCCGCACAAUGUUGGAAACGGGUCGUGGUCUGCACGCGCCUCCGGCGACGUUCUCCAGUGGAAACCGGAACACAGUGGCGAUGGAGGGAAAUGCGUGGCAGUGCUCUGACGGGGGAAUUGUGGGCAGCGUGCGAGGCAGAUCUUGUGCGCGCUGAAGCGUCGCGACAGGGGCGUGCCAGAGCUGGAGCUUCAGCUCCAGCUCCAGCUCCAGCUCUGUCUGCACGAAAGCCGCGACGACGAAGACGACGGUGAUAGAGAGUUCGUCUCCGGUCGCGGUACAACGCCUUCAAUGCCCCAACUCAAUAGAAAGUGUUGCCAUUGAAUGGCAAAUUUGCUUAGUCUCUUUGAAUUACAGAUGGAAUAAGAGGUUUGUUUAACGUUUUCAUGGUCGUGAAACUAUGUGAUAGGGUGGUUUACGACAUGUUUUGUGCGUGUGAGAAAGAAAGAAAGUUUGAACAGUGCACCAUUAAAAAAACAUAAACAAAAAAAUAUUAUUACAAAAUUUUGAAGUUUGUCAUGUUGGGCUACCUCAAAUUUUACCGAAAUGAAAUCAUUUGGAUUGACUUCCAUUA